rnacentral:rRNA from 1 species
UAUGUGAUCGUCUCUCGCAUAUCAAUAAGCGGAGGAAAAGAAACUAACAAGGAUUCCCCUAGUAACGGCGAGUGAAGCGGGAAGAGCUCAAAUUUGAAAUCUUCAAGGGUUUACCUUUACGAAUUGUAGUUUAAAGAAGUGUUUUCUGUUGAGGUUUUGGUAAAAGUUCUCUGGAAUAGGACAUCAUAGAGGGUGAGAAUCCCGUAUUUGACCUUUACUUUCAACUUUGUGAUACACUUUCAAAGAGUCGGAUUGUUUGGGAAUGCAGUCCAAAAUGGGUGGUAAAUUUCAUCUAAAGCUAAAUAUUGGCGAGAGACCGAUAGCGAACAAGUACCGUGAGGGAAAGAUGAAAAGAACUUUGAAAAGAGAGUUAAACAGUACGCUGAAAUUGUCAAAAGGGAAGCGUUUGACACCAGUGUUGUUUUUCUGAAAAUCAAUUAAAGAACUGUUUAUGCUAAGUUGUUUAGACUUUAUCAGCUAUCUGCUUAGUUUUGAGCUUUUCUUUAAUGCACUUUUCAGUUAACAAGUCAACAUCAAUUUCUUUUGCUGUAAAAAAGCUUGAGGAAGGUGGCUUGAGAUUCGUCUUAAGUGUUUAUAGCCUCUUGCCUAUGCAGUCGGAGAGAUUGAGGUCUGCAGCGUAGAUCCUUCGGGGCUAAAUGCAUUUGUGCUAAGUUAUAGCAUUUUAUAGACAACUUGUUGACUAUGAUUUGUCUUGUAGCUUACUCGCUUAUGUUAUUUUACCUACGCUUAGGAUGUUGAAGUCAUCGUAUCGCGC